rnacentral:lncRNA from 1 species
UAGGGUCUUACUGCCGAUGGUGAGGUCGACGUAGAGCGCUCCGCGGGCCGGUGACACGUUCCCUUUGAAAUCCUUCAGCAUCAUGUCCAUCUUGGUCAGAUCUUCAUCGCUUUUGCCCAAUUUCCGGAACAUAGCAUACGGCAUGAUAUUAAUCGCGGCGCCUCCAUCUACCAGCAGUCUAGUAACUGGUCGUCUGUUGACAUGCCCUUUGAGGAACAAGGCUUUUAGGUGUUGUCAUUUUUCAUCUUCGGAUUUCUCAAAAGUGGCUAUCAUUGGC